rnacentral:rRNA from 1 species
GAGAGUUUGAUCCUGGCUCAGGAUGAACGCUAGCUAUAGGCUUAACACAUGCAAGUCGAGGGGUAACAUGAUUAAAGCUUGCUUUAAUUGAUGACGACCGGCGGAUGGGUGAGUAACACGUAUCCAACCUACCGUAUACACGGGGAUAGCCUUUCGAAAGAAAGAUUAAUACCCGAUGGUGUAAUGAAAGCGCAUGCUUUUAUUGCUAAAGAUUUAUUGGUAUAUGAUGGGGAUGCGUUCCAUUAGAUAGUUGGUAGGGUAACGGCCUACCAAGUCAGCGAUGGAUAGGGGUUCUGAGAGGAAGACCCCCCACAUUGGAACUGAGACACGGUCCAAACUCCUACGGGAGGCAGCAGUGAGGAAUCUUGGUCAAUGGGCGCAAUGCCUGAACCAGCCAAGUAGCGUGAAGGAAGACUGCCCUUAGGGUUGUAAACUUCUUUUAUAAGGGAAUAACGAUAGCAACGAGUUGCUAUUUGCAUGUACCUUACGAAUAAGGAUCGGCUAACUCC